UUUGAUCCUGGCUCAGGACGAACGCUGGCGGCGUGCCUAAUACAUGCAAGUCGAGCGGACUUCUUAAUAGCUUGCUAUGAAGAAGUUAGCGGCGGACGGGUGAGUAACACGUGGGCAACCCGCCUUACAGACUGGGAUAACUCCGGGAAACCGGAGCUAAUACCGGAUGACCAAUGGAUCCGCAUGGAUCUAUUGUAAAAGUUGGGAUUUAUCCUAACACUGUGAGAUGGGCCCGCGGCGCAUUAGCUAGUUGGUGGGGUAAUGGCCUACCAAGGCGACGAUGCGUAGCCGACCUGAGAGGGUGAUCGGCCACACUGGAACUGAGACACGGUCCAGACUCCUACGGGAGGCAGCAGUAGGGAAUCAUCCGCAAUGGGCGAAAGCCUGACGGUGCAACGCCGCGUGAACGAUGACGGUCUUCGGAUUGUAAAGUUCUGUUGUUAGGGAAGAACAAGUACCGUUCGAAUAGGGCGGUACCUUGACGGUACCUGACCAGAAAGCCCCGGCUAACUACGUGCCAGCAGCCGCGGUAAUACGUAGGGGGCAAGCGUUGUCCGGAAUUAUUAGGCGUAAAGCGCGCGCAGGCGGUCCUUUAAGUCUGAUGUGAAAGCCCACGGCUCAACCGUGGAGGGUCAUUGGAAACUGGGGGACUUGAGUGUAGGARARGGAAAAGUGGAAUUCCACGUGUAGCGGUGAAAUGCGUAGAUAUUGUGGAGGAACACCAGUGGCGAAGGCGACUUUCUGGCCUACAACUGACGCUGAGGCGCGAAAGCGUGGGGAGCAAACAGGAUUAGAUACCCUGGUAGUCCACGCCGUAAACGAUGAGUGCUAGGUGUUAGGGGUUUCGAUACCCUUAGUGCCGCAGUUAACACAUUAAGCACUCCGCCUGGGGAGUACG
rnacentral:rRNA from 1 species